UACGGAGGAGGCAAGCGUUAUCCGGAAUUAUUGGGCGUAAAGCGUCCGUAGGUGGCUCUUCAAGUCUGCUGUCAAAGAGUGGGGCUUAACCCUGCAAAGGCAGUGGAAACUGAAAGGCUAGAGAGCCGUAGGGGUAGAGGGAAUUCCCGGUGUAGCGGUGAAAUGCGUAGAGAUCGGGAAGAACAUCGGUGGCGAAAGCACUCUACUGGACCGCAACUGACACUCAGGGACGAAAGCUAGGGGAGCGAAUGGG
rnacentral:rRNA from 1 species